GAAAGAAACCUAACAUUGAAUCUAACAUUCCAACUUCUGACUGAGCAAAAAGGCAAAAACCCUAAAAGAUCUCCACUCUCGUAGUCAUUCUCUCCAAGCGGCAAAGCUGUCUCGGCUCAAAGCUUCAGCUCAAAGCGGCAAAGCCACUCUUGUUCUGCGGCCUCACGGUCUCACCCCAUGGCUCCGACGCCGGCUUCAGUGCAUCAAGUACGUGUUUCCUCUCAUAAUUUGCUUGAUCCUAUGCAAGACUUUGUUUUUACGAAUGCGAAGCUAAAGUUUAACCUCACCAAGGUCCAGCCAAGCAAGCAAACAACAUUACCAUUUCAUAUUUCCAGGAUUUAAGCAGGAUUUGUAGAUUAGAAUGGCGGUGAGGCACAAACUUUUCCCUUAAACAAAACUGCAACUCAAUAUUGUUUUAUAGAACCUGAGACUCGAUGCAAUUGCCAUGGCUAUUGAGUUCUGAUUUGUCUUUAGAUUUUUUUUUUCUUCUGCAAGUUCAAUCCAACAAUUUGGAAUUUCUUUUAUC